rnacentral:lncRNA from 1 species
GGCUGUAUCUGGGAACCACAGACAGAAUCAUGGAACUGACCAUCUUCAGUCUCAAAGUGCUGCCCUCACCACUACACCCAGGGGCAGGUGGUCUUCGGGGGAAAGGCGGUUCCAGUUCCUUCUCCCAAGCCAGUGAGGAAGUCAAUCCUGCGAACAACUGCAGGAACGGCCUUGGGAGUGGAUCCUUCCUCAGCCCGGCUCCAAGACAACUGCAGCCCUGUGAGAAACCCUGAGUGGAGGACCAAGCCAAGCCUCAAAUCGUGACUUGGAACUGGGAGACAACAGAUGCUGUUGGAAGCCACUGAGCUCUGAAGUAGUUUGUUACACAGUGACAGAAUCUAGGAUCUGGGGAAGGUAAACUGAGGCCACCAGUAAGCAUGUGCUCCAGGCCAAGGCUGAGUCUGUGCUGCAUCCAUGUCAUCAGCCACCCAAGAAAAACCAGUUACUCCACCUAGCUCAUGGUGGCGGCAUCCUCCCUGCAAUGGUGCAUGGGGGGCAGUCCUUUCCCCUGCAGGGUGUCAUUGCCACCCCCAUCCUCAUCCUGGAGGCCAGUCCAGGCUCCGAUAUGAGUGACUAGGGGUGAGGUAGGGGUGGCAGAAGGGAGAUCAAACUGGAGCAUUCCAGAUGCCUACUACUGCCCUCACACAACGGGGCAACUGUGCUCUCCAACUCCUCCCCUUGGCAGAGAAACUGGUCCUGCAGUUUCAGGACUAGACGAGCGUGGGGUAGUGGCAAUAAAGGGGCUUGUAUGAGAAGUG